GAUGAACGCUGGCGGCGUGCCUAACACAUGCAAGUCGAGCGAAAAGACGAGGAGCUUGCUCCUCUGACGUUGGCGGCGGACGGAUGAGUAAAACAAGGAUAACCUACCUAUAAGACUAGUAUAACUUCGGGGAACCGGUGCUAAUAACGGAUAAUAUCUUCAAGCUGAUGGUUCAAAAGUUACGGACGUUUUUGCUGUAACUUCUAGAUAUCUCCGUGCCGGUUUAGCUAGUUGGUAAGGUAACGGCUUACCAAGGCGACGCUGCGUAGCCGACCUGAGAAGGGGAUCGGCCACACUGGGACUGAGACACGGUCCAGGCUCCGAGGGAAGGCAGCAGUACGGAAGCGUGGGAGAUGGGCGGAAGCUUGAAGGAGCAGCGCCGCGUGGGUGAUGAAGGGCUUCGGGUCGUAAGACGCUGUUAUUAGGGAAGAACAAUUGUGUAAGUAACGAUGCACGUCUUGACGGUACCUAAAGAAGAAGCCACGGCUAACUACGUG
rnacentral:rRNA from 1 species